rnacentral:lncRNA from 1 species
UCAGUUGUAAGACAUUGAAUACUGUAAAUUAAUGUAAUGAUAUGUCAAAAUUAAAGUUUGUUUUGGUUUUUGUCUUUUUCCCUUGCCCCUUGUGUUUCUUGAUAUUUCCUCUUAAUUGAGUUCAGACGUUUAAAAAAAAGAAAAAAAAAAUUAAAGUUUGUUUGAAUGAAAAAAAUGCUUAUCCAAUAUUUGUUGUGUGAAAGGCAUAAAGAAGUAUAGUGUAUAUACAGUGAAAAAAGUCAUAGAAAG